rnacentral:rRNA from 2 species
CGUAGGUGGCAAGCGUGUCCGGAUUUAUUGGGCGUAAAGCGAGCGCAGGCGGUUUUUUAAGUCUGAUGUGAAAGCCUUCGGCUCAACCGAAGAAGUGCAUCGGAAACUGGGAAACUUGAGUGCAGAAGAGGACAGUGGAACUCCAUGUGUAGCGGUGAAAUGCGUAGAUAUAUGGAAGAACACCAGUGGCGAAGGCGGCUGUCUGGUCUGUAACUGACGCUGAGGCUCGAAAGUAUGGGUAGCAAACAGGAUUAGAUACCCUGGUAGUCCAUACCGUAAACGAUGAAUGCUAAGUGUUGGAGGGUUUCCGCCCUUCAGUGCUGCAGCUAACGCAUUAAGCAUUCCGCCUGGGGAGUACGGCCGCAAGGCUGAAACUCAAAGGAAUUGACGGGGGCCCGCACAAGCGGUGGAGCAUGUGGUUUAAUUCGAAGCUACGCGAAGAACCUUACCAGGUCUUGACAUACUAUGCAAAUCUAAGAGAUUAGACGUUCCCUUCGGGGACAUGGAUACAGGUGGUGCAUGGUUGUCGUCAGCUCGUGUCGUGAGAUGUUGGGUUAAGUCCCGCAACGAGCGCAACCCUUAUUAUCAGUUGCCAGCAUUAAGUUGGGCACUCUGGUGAGACUGCCGGUGACAAACCGGAGGAAGGUGGGGAUGACGUCAAAUCAUCAUGCCCCUUAUGACCUGGGCUACACACGUGCUACAAUGGAUGGUACAACGAGUUGCGAACUCGCGAGAGUAAGCUAAUCUCUUAAAGCCAUUCUCAGUUCGGAUUGUAGGCUGCAACUCGCCUACAUGAAGUCGGAAUCGCUAGUAAUCGCGGAUCAGCAUGCCGCGGUGAAUACGUUCCCGGGCCUUGUACACACCGCCCGUCACACCAUGAGAGUUUGUAACACCCAAAGUCGGUGGGGUAACCUUAUAGG